GUCCCUGUAGUGCAAAGGAUAGCGUGUUGGACUUCUAAUCCAAAGGUCGUGGAUUCCAAACCCACCUGGGAUG